AAACGCAGAAUCACAUGUGUCAAUAAUGUGAUCAGGUUAACAAAGACUUUUAUCUUAUACAAAUAUAGAUUAUGGAUUAAGACAUUCUGUUAGGCACUUUGUGUAUCCCAGAGUACAAACUCUGGUGUGAUUGUUACGCUCUUCAACAGAGGAUUGAUUUCAUCUGUGAAAGAGGCUUUCAAACUGAUUUUGCCUGAAACUCUUGGCAUAUUUUUUAGAAGAGAAGCAUCUGAAGGCAAAACCGAAAGCUGUAAGGGAUAAAUUAACUAGCUGCACAGAAGAUCUUCAGUUUGCAUCGGGCAGCUGACCUUUAACAUGGGAAAGUGCGUGCUUGUUUGCAGUUUUAUUGGCGCUCUGCUGGGGGAAACAGUCCCAGCCGGAGCUGUGGUAUGUUUUGAGACGGGAUCACAAAGUAAACAGAAAGUCCUCGGAUCAGCUCAGAGGACAACAGUCCCAAGACACACAGGUCCCACAGGACAGGCAGGCAUGCCAAUAAACAAGACAGUCAGGGCUGAUUGAAAUAAGAUGAGUCAGAUCUCAUCAUGACAUCGAAACGAACUCAGCCCUUCUGAUGAGUUUUACUUUUAACAGUAGAUGGUGUCAGGGCAGCAGUGUAUUGCAAAAUUCAUGCAAUGUUUUUCACAGUCACAUAACAGCCACAAGCUUCAAUUCAUUUUAGGGAUUUUUUUUGAUAGACCAACACAAAGUAGGACACAACAUAGAAAAUUAUAGAAAACCAUAGAAAUGGUAUUGAAAAAAUCUUUUAGAAAUCCGAAAAGUGUAAUAUUUAGCAUUUGUUUUCUUCUGUGUAUUUUCUGCCAAAGUAAAUUUAAUUUACCUUACAAAGCUAUUUUGGACCAUUUUGUGCUUACCACAUAAAAGCUGAGGUAAAUGCAUUGAGGUUUGUGGUUUAAUGUGAUAAAAAUAUGAGAACAGUUCAAUACAAUAUUUUUGCAGUCUGCAUGUUUGAGUCAUGGAUUGUUGUUACUUACAUUUCUUCAUAAGGUUAAUCUUUCCUAGUUUUUAAAAAGUUUUAUAAAAAAAUACUAACACAAUCAAACCACAUGGAGAAAAACACAUUUUUGUUUCAUUUCAUUUUUGUCUUCUAAUGUAUGACAAAUUGUAAUUGUCUGUUUCUGUCAUUGUUAUUCAUGCGAGCAUAGCUCAGUGUUUGUGUUUCUUUUCCAUAAUUCAGAUGCAUCCGCCUGCCUGUGGCUCUGUCAUUUGCAGACGCAGACGUUUGACACAUGAUGACAUGUUUACAGAAAUCCAACACUUCAUCACAUUUCUGAACCUCCCAGUUGACAUGUGGUGAGUAUGGGAGUUUUUGGAAAGUUUUGGUGUGCCACGAAUUGUUCUGCAGCAGCCCGUCGGAUAAAGAGUUACCUCGGAAACAAAAGGAAGCUGGUCAGCUCGAGUCACCGGUUCCUCCCAGUUUUUGUUUUUACCUCCACCAUGUUUUUCUGACUCCCUGCUUGAAAGAAACAAAAGAGUUUGGAAAAAGCUGGAACAAAGGAGUGUGCAUGUGUGUGUGAUGUUUACCUGUGCUUCUCUUUGAACGGGCUACAUGCUUGUUUUGUGUGUGUGUAAGAAACACUGGGUUCCUGUCUUCCUACAGAGGAAGGAAAAAGUGCAGAAGACAGAGCAGAGUGACUUCAGGCUGAUAAGCCUCAUCAGGAUGUGUUGGCACGGCUACUCACAACGAGACUUUUUGCUCUUUGGGUUUCAACAUUGUAAUUGUUUGGUGUCGCCAUAGUCCUCUGAUGCCAUUUUGUUCUUUAGAUAUGUAACUAUUUUUGUUCUCAAAGUGAAAUGCAACUGAAACAUCCAACACUGGCCAACAAUUGUAAACUGUUCUGUGCAGUUUGUUGAAAAAGUAUCCACACCCCUGGAGAAACACCUGAGUGAAGUUACCCUCCUCACCACAUACCCCAAAUGUUUGUCCUGCAAACAUUUUAAUUUGUGCCACUAUCAUUUUAAAGAUACAGUCAAAAAAAAACCUUGUCAAGAUAAUUAAUUUUAUUACAAUUGACUUUUUAAUGAUAAAAACAACAUGUAGAACAUCAAUUCAAACUAAAUAUAGCCCAAUAAACACACUGAGUCUCUGCUAGGUAAGAUCAGUAUGCUUUAAUAAGAUAUCAGUGCAGAAACACAAACUUCUUACUGGGUUAAAGUCCCCAUAUAGUAAUAAUGAUAUAUUAUCAGGUCAUUAUGAAAUUUAGCAUAUUAAAAUAUAUCUGAAUUAGCUAAUAUAACUGUAUGACAAUGACAACAGCAGAAAACAAGUUAUUGAACAUGGAUCCCAGAAGGAAGAAGAAAAACGAUGAAGAGACGGUGGAAGAGCAAGGCUUCACACCACAUCCAUUUGUCAUUUUUUGGGGAAAACCCUUCAAGGAGCACAGUAUGUCAAGUUAAAUACAAUGCCAAUGUCUUGUCUAUUUUAAAUACCAAACUGUUUGCUUCCCACAUUUUCUUUUGUUUGUUUUGUUUUGUUUUUUUUUGUUGUAUUUCUAAACAUAAAUUUGCUGUUUUUCUGUUUUCUUUGAUCAAAUAUUCUCAAAUCUUUGUUUCUGGUUGAAAUUGUCAGAGCAGAAGCUCAUCUAAAUGGGAGGUGAGACUUUUCUAGGGAAACGUUUCUAAUUCAACUUCUGCUUGGCCAAGCCUCUCCAUAUUCAGUAGUGCAGCUCAUUGUUUUAAUGUGGUUUCAAUGUGAAGAACAACAUAAUCCAUCUCAGGCAUUGUUCUGGUUUGAUUUUUAUUCACCACACUGGUUUUCUGUCAGUCAUCUCUCUUUGGUCUCCAAAAACAUCAACUUAAUGACUGGACAAUAUUGCACUUUUAUUUCCAACAAGUAACAUUUGAACAAAUAUCUAGUAAGGUGCUUUUUUUUUUUUUUUUUUUUUUCUGGAAACUUAUUUGAGUAAUUCAAAAAUUCUACAUUCUAUACAUAAUUCUACACAUAAUCCCAGAAACAGAUACAACUUUUUUCCACUUUGAAAGACGAGGAACAUCUUAUUUGAUUAGUGAUAAAAUUGUCGGAAAAAAUUUAAUGUGUUAAAACAAUUCUCAUGUUUUGUAAAAGUAAUUAUUUUAGGUAAAUGUGUGGAAACAUAGAGGAAGGUUAAUCUUGCGCUGACUUUUACUUUAUUUAGGGGCUGGCCUACAAAAGACACAGAAUGGUACCACCAAUGUUUAAAAAUAAAAGUAAAAUCAUAAGAACUGAAGGUUGCAUUCAUGUUAAGGUUUUGU